UAGGUCCAUGGCAUUCUGGCUGAAGCUCAGAACAAAAUUCAAGGGAGUCCAGCAUUGCACGUGGAGUUUCUGCUGCUGUGUUUGUUGAAAGAGAGAGAAGGCAGAGGAAUUACACUGUGUUACUCAAAGCACAGGCAGCGUACUUACAGAUGGGGUUAUGAUGAGAAGAAGCUGCAUACCGACAGGCUUCUGCUACCUGUGAUGGAGAAGAGGUUUGAUCUGGGCAGGACCUCACCGGACCCCUUCACCCUCACUUGGGAGGAAAGAUCGAACAGUGAGGAGAACAUGCUCCGAGGAGUUGGAUUACAGCUUACACGUGUAUUCGAAGCCGAAGUUACACAACUGCAUGAAGAACUGUGUGCAGAAAUGGUUUCUGAUUUCUGCUUACAACAGCCCAGGUACAAAAUCCCUGUUAUUUGAGAAUUUG